UACCUCGCUCAAAUUUCGACACAGGAUAGGUGGAUCCUCGCUCUACCUCUCGCUCUAAUCCCCAUCCCUAUAGAUUCAUAAAUACUAUAAAAAAAAGCCUAAAAUCUUCACGUACCCAAAAAUCAACUCUGAACAUCACAAAAACUCGCUCAACUUUAUCGCUCAAUAUCUCCGCCAUCCCUCGCUCUAUCUCACUCAAAUUCGGACACAGGAUAGGUGGAUCCUCGCUCUACCUCUCGCUCUAAUCCCCAUCCCUAUAGAUUCAUAAAUACUAUAAAAAAAAAGCCUAAAAUCUUCACGUACCCAAAAAUCAACUCUGAACAUCACCAAAAACUCGCUCAACUUAAUCGCUCAAUAUCUCCGCCAUCCCUCGCUCUACCUCGCUCAAAUUCGGACACAGGAUAGGUGGAUCCUCGCUCUACCUCUCGCUCUAAUCCCCAUCCCUAUAGAUUCAUAAAUACUAUAAAAAAAAGCCUAAAAACUUGACGUACCCAAAAAUCAA